CUUCCUCAGCUUCUCUCCAUGUUCUCUCUUUUCUUUCUUGUUCUCUCUCUUCCUCCUUUCCCUCUCUUCUUCAGAGCCUAGAUUUGCCUACAAGUAGCAGAUAAGGCAAGAACACUCACACAGAGGGAGAGAGGGUGGCAUCCCAUGGAGGACUCCGUGCCACAGCAUGCACUCCUAGACCUUAGGGGAGAGUUUGUUGCAGCCCAGGGGUGACAGCCUGUGUGGGGCAUCUCCGUGGGGGCUGUGUGUGGUGCUCUACGCGUGCCACCCCACUGGGGAAUCCAUAGUGCCACCACCCCCUAGGUGACCACAAGAGGAGGUGACAUCACGACUUCCUGUCUCCAAAUGGGAACUGAAAGCAGCUCUCCUGCCACUCCUUGUCCCCACUGCAGUCUCGCUGUCCCCAAGCUGCUCCUGCCUCAUGGCACCAAUGGCACUGGCCCUCAUCCUGGGACCAGGACCGUGUCCCUUGCAGGUUGGUGUCUGGCGGCAGCGAGCAGGGCACAGCAGCUGCCCCGACCCUCCCUGUCGCUGCAUCCCAGCCAAGGGGUGUCCAUGGGGGACACUGUCACCCUGCAGUGCCACCUGCCCCGGCUGGCUGCCCGGGUUGAGCUCUACCAGGGAGGACGUUGGAGAUCUGUCAUGGACAAGAAGGAGGACAUGGCUGAGUUCUCCUUGGUUAGCACUGAGCAGGAAGAUGCAGGAACAUACCGGUGCAAGUAUCGUGUGUUGGAGCCACCAUGGACAUCAAGGCUGAGUGAACCUGUGGAGCUGGUGAUCACAGGUGAGGUCACUGGGGAAAAUAAGUGCACCAGGGCUGUUUCCUCAGGGCCAUGUCCCAUCGCUCCCCACUCACUGGACACAGAUCGCAUGUUCCCCCCACCUGGUAUUUCCCUGCACCCUGAAAAGCCAGUGAGGAUGGGGACCAACGUCACCAUCCACUGCUGGAACAACUAUAAUGGGAUCACCUUCCUGCACAAGGAUGGGUGCUCAGCCCCUAUCCAGCACCAGGACCCUGACGGUGGGGGCACGGCCACCUUCACCCUCUUUGGGGUGACCCCGGCUGAUGCCGGCUCCUAUAGGUGCUUCUACCGCCCCAAGGGUUUUUACCCCUUUCUUUCCUCACCCCUUGGGAACAAUGUGACACUGGAGAUGGAAUCCGCAUCUGCUCCUCCUGGUAGGUCUGAUCCUCCCAUUUGUGUGUCCCUGAUGUCACCCAUGGGUGGCACUGUCACGACAUCCUGUCCCUAUGGAGGUGGUGGCAGAGGAUGGAGUUCACCCAACACUUGGACCCCACAGGUGCUGAGGGGACGUCCUACAGGAACUUUGUGGUGGCGGUGGUGAGGGGAUGCGCUGCUGCCCUUGUCUUCGCUCUCGGCCUCUACUUCAUCCUCGAUGCCCGCAGCCUCUGGAUACAGAGAGAUGUGAGAUCUGGUGACCCCCAGUGACAAGAAGGGUCUGACUCACACCGAGCUGCGUGCUGCAACCUGCAGGAUUUGGACACUCUGUGCACCCGUCGUGCCCUAAUCCCCUGUUAUCUGUGCUGAGUCGGGCACUGGCAGCUCUGCUAAUGCACACUUCUACCAUCCCCUCUAAGUGAAUGCAGAGGUGGGCUGUGGAUGUGUGAAGGAAGGGUCACAUCACAUUGCCACGGGGAUUUGAUGAUCGCUUUCCCAUUAGGCCCUCAUCAAGUCCCAGUAACAUUCCUGGCUGACACUGGGGCCCAGAUGUUGGCCCUUACGGAAGAUGUGGCUGUCAUUGUCUGGAUACGUCCUGACCAAAAGGAAAUCUGGGUGAUGGAGUGUUCCGUAUCUCCUGAGCGGAGCUCACGGCACCAGCACAAUGUUGGCUGUUGGGAGUUGUGGCAGUGCCAGAGCUCACAAUGAUCCUGGGCUCUCUGAGCUGUAAGUUGAGGAACAACCUGUGCCUUGGUCUUGGAAUUUUCUGCUGCAAAAGCAGAAUCUAAAUCUCACAUGGGGAGAUGUGGUCACUCUAAGGAUCGGAGACUGGGAAUCCAUACAAGGGAUGUCGAUGGGACUACUACUCAGAGAGAGCCCCUGGAGUUGGGAGGCACUGUGAAAGGUUUGGGUGUUCCCUGGGGUCAGGGCGAUGUGUGAGCGGUGGCUCAGCCACAUGGGACACCCCAUGGGAGCCACAUGUCCUGCACCGGGCAUCCCAUGGGGGACAGCGUGCAAGGCCAUGCCCUGGCAGAACUUUGGGGAAAGUGUGU